rnacentral:rRNA from 1 species
CAUGCAAGUCGAGGGGCAUCAGGAAGAAAGCUUGCUUUCUUUGCUGGCGACCGGCGCACGGGUGAGUAACACGUAUCCAACCUGCCCUUUACUCGGGGAUAGCCUUUCGAAAGAAAGAUUAAUACCCGAUAGCAUAAUGAUUCCGCAUGGUUUCAUUAUUAAAGGAUUCCGGUAAAGGAUGGGGAUGCGUUCCAUUAGGUUGUUGGUGAGGUAACGGCUCACCAAGCCUUCGAUGGAUAGGGGUUCUGAGAGGAAAGUCCCCCACAUUGGAACUGAGACACGGUCCAAACUCCUACGGGAGGCAGCAGUGAGGAAUAUUGGUCAAUGGGCGCUAGCCUGAACCAGCCAAGUAGCGUGAAGGAUGAAGGCUCUAUGGGUCGUAAACUUCUUUUAUAUAAGAAUAAAGUGCAGUAUGUAUACUGUUUUGUAUGUAUUAUAUGAAUAAGGAUCGGCUAACUCCGUGCCAGCAGCCGCGGUAAUACGGAGGAUCCGAGCGUUAUCCGGAUUUAUUGGGUUUAAAGGGAGCGUAGGUGGACUGGUAAGUCAGUUGUGAAAGUUUGCGGCUCAACCGUAAAAUUGCAGUUGAUACUGUCAGUCUUGAGUACAGUAGAGGUGGGCGGAAUUCGUGGUGUAGCGGUGAAAUGCUUAGAUAUCACGAAGAACUCCGAUUGCGAAGGCAGCUCACUGGACUGCAACUGACACUGAUGCUCGAAAGUGUGGGUAUCAAACAGGAUUAGAUACCCUGGUAGUCCACAC